GGAAUUGUUCACAAUGGGCGCAAGCCUGAUGACGCAACGCCGCGUGGAGGAUGAAGGUCUUCGGAUUGUAAACUCCUGUUGCCCGGGACGAAAAGCUUCCACCUAAUACGUUGAAGUCUGACGGUACCGGGUGAGGAAGCCCCGGCUAACUCCGUGCCAGCAGCCGCGGUAAUACAGAGGGGGCAAGCGUUGUUCGGAAUUACUGGGCGUAAAGGGCGCGUAGGCGGCCUUCUAAGUCGGACGUGAAAUCCCCGGGCUCAACCCGGGAACUGCGUCCGAGACUGGAAGGCUCGAAUCCGGGAGAGGGAUGUGGAAUUCCAGGUGUAGCGGUGAAAUGCGUAGAUAUCUGGAGGAACACCGGUGGCGAAGGCGGCAUCCUGGACCGGUAUUGACGCUGAGGCGCGAAAGCCAGGGGAGCAAA
rnacentral:rRNA from 1 species